CCUACGGGCGGCAGCAGUGAGGAAUAUUGGUCAAUGGCCGUAAGGCUGAACCAGCCAAGUCGCGUGAAGGAAGACGGAUCUAUGGUUUGUAAACUUCUUUUAUAGGGGAAUAAAGGUAUCCACGUGUGGAUAUUUGCAUGUACCCUAUGAAUAAGGAUCGGCUAACGCCGGUCCAGCAGCCGCGGUAAUACGGAGGAUUCGAGCGUUAUCCGGAUUUAUUGGGGUUAAAGGGUGCGUAGGUUGUUUUUUAAGUCAGCGGUGAAAGUUUGUGGCUCAACCGUAAAAUUGCAAUUGAUACUGGCAGCCUUGAGUGCAGUAGAGGUAGGCGGAAUGCGUGGUGUAGCGGUGAAAUGCUUAGAUAUCACGAAGAACUCCGAUUGCGAAGGCAGCUUACUGGCCUGCAACUGACAUUGAUGCUCGAAAGUGUGGGUAUCAAACAGGAUUAGAUACCCGAGUAGUC
rnacentral:rRNA from 1 species